rnacentral:rRNA from 1 species
AGUGGCGAACGGGUGAGUAAUGCAUCGGAACGUGCCCGAUCGUGGGGGAUAACGCAGCGAAAGCUGCGCUAAUACCGCAUACGAUCUGAGGAUGAAAGCGGGGGACCGUAAGGCCUCGCGCGAUCGGAGCGGCCGAUGUCAGAUUAGGUAGUUGGUGGGGUAAAGGCUCACCAAGCCAACGAUCUGUAGCUGGUCUGAGAGGACGACCAGCCACACUGGGACUGAGACACGGCCCAGACUCCUACGGGAGGCAGCAGUGGGGAAUUUUGGACAAUGGGCGAAAGCCUGAUCCAGCAAUGCCGCGUGCAGGAAGAAGGCCUUCGGGUUGUAAACUGCUUUUGUACGGAGCGAAAAGGCUCUCUCUAAUACAGGGGGCUCAUGACGGAACCGUAAGAAUAAGCACCGGCUAACUACGUGCCAGCAGCCGCGGUAAUACGUAGGGUGCAAGCGUUAAUCGGAAUUACUGGGCGUAAAGCGUGCGCAGGCGGUUUUGUAAGACAGGCGUGAAAUCCCCGGGCUCAACCUGGGAAUGGCGCUUGUGACUGCAAAGCUGGAGUGCGGCAGAGGGGGAUGGAAUUCCGCGUGUAGCAGUGAAAUGCGUAGAUAUGCGGAGGAACACCGAUGGCGAAGGCAAUCCCCUGGGCCUGCACUGACGCUCAUGCACGAAAGCGUGGGGAGCAAACAGGAUUUGAUACCCUGG